rnacentral:rRNA from 1 species
AUACGUAGGUGACAAGCGUUAUCCGGAUUUACUGGGCGUAAAGGGCGUGUAGGCGGUCUUGCAAGUCAGAAGUGAAAUUCCUGAGCUCAACUCGGGCGCUGCUUCUGAAACUGCGGAGCUUGAGUGCAGGAGAGGUUAUCGGAAUUCCCGGUGUAGCGGUGAAAUGCGUAGAGAUCGGGAGGAACGCCAGUGGCGAAGGCGGGUAACUGGACUGCAACUGACGCUGAGGCGCGAAAGUGUGGGGAGCAAACAGGAUUAGAUACCCUGGUAGUCCACACUGUAAACGAUGAAUGCUAGGUGUAGGAGGUAUCGACCCCUUCUGUGCCGCAGUAAACACAGUAAGCAUUCCGCCUGGGGAGUACGGUCGCAAGAUUAAAACUCAAAUGAAUUGACGGGG